GUUUUAUUGAAGAUUGGCAAAGAAAGGCUCUGAUGUAUCUCCAAUGAAAGCUCAUUCCAGAAAUUCAAGGCCCUCCAGCUGGCAAUGAUCAACCACAAUGUCUGGGGUGGUGAACAAACAUGAGAAGCUUCAAAGGCAAGCAGAUUACUACACCUGAAAGUGAUCAUUAGUAUUUUGAAAGAGGCCGCAAACAAUCCAAGGAAGCCUACAACCAGACUGAUAAAAGACAAGACAACAAAACAUCCACCUGAGAUCCCCA
rnacentral:lncRNA from 11 species